GAUGAACGCUGGCGGCGUGCCUAAUACAUGCAAGUCGAGCGAACAGACGAGAAGCUUGCUCCUCUGACGUUAGCGGCGGACGGGUGAGUAACACGUGGAUAACCUACCUAUAAGACUGGGAUAACUUCGGGAAACCGGAGCUAAUACCGGAUGAUAUUUUGAACCGCAUGGUUCAAAAGUGAAAGACGGUCUUGCUGUCACUUAUAGAUGGAUCCGCGCUGCAUUAGCUAGUUGGUAAGGUAACGGCUUACCAAGGCAACGAUGCAUAGCCGACCUGAGAGGGUGAUCGGCCACACUGGAACUGAGACACGGUCCAGACUCCUACGGGAGGCAGCAGUAGGGAAUCUUCCGCAAUGGGCGAAAGCCUGACGGAGCAACGCCGCGUGAGUGAUGAAGGUCUUCGGAUCGUAAAACUCUGUUAUUAGGGAAGAACAAAUGUGUAAGUAACUAUGCACGUCUUGACGGUACCUAAUCAGAAAGCCACGGCUAACUACGUG
rnacentral:rRNA from 1 species